rnacentral:rRNA from 1 species
AUUGAACGCUGGCGGCAGGCCUAACACAUGCAAGUCGAACGAGUAGAGGACGGGUGAGUAAUGUCUGGGAAACUGCCUGAUGGAGGGGGCUAACUACUGGAAACGGUAGCUAAUACCGCAUACCAUCGGAUGUGCCCAGCUGGGAUUAGCUAGUAGGUGGGGUAAAGGCUCACCUAGGCGACGAUCCCUAGCUGGUCUGAGAGGAUGACCAGCCACACUGGAACUGAGACACGGUCCAGACUCCUACGGGAGGCAGCAGUGGGGAAUAUUGCACAAUGGGCGAAAGCCUGAUGCAGCCAUGCCGCGUGUAUGAAGAAGGCUUUCGGGUUGUAAAGUACUGUCAUCGGGGAGGCGUUACCCGCAGAAGAAGCACCGGCUAACUCCGUGCCAGCAGCCGCGAUAAUUC